CAGCGUGUAGUUCAGUUGGUAGAAUGCAUGGUUUGGGACCAUGUGGUCGUAGGUUCGAAGCCUACCACUCUGA
rnacentral:tRNA from 1 species